CCUACGGGUGGCAGCAGUGGGGAAUAUUGCACAAUGGGGGAAACCCUGAUGCAGCGACGCCGCGUGAGUGAAGAAGUAUUUCGGUAUGUAAAGCUCUAUCAGCAGGGAAGAAGAACGACGUUAGCUAACUAACAAGCCCCGGCUAACUACGUGCCAGCAGCCGCGGUAAUACGUAGGGGGCAAGCGUUAUCCGGAUUUACUGGGUGUAAAGGGAGCGUAGACGGCUGUGCAAGUCUGAGGUGAAAGCCCAGGGCUCAACCCUGGGACUGCUUUGGAAACUGUGGAGCUAGAGUGCUGGAGAGGUAAGUGGAAUUCCAAGUGUAGCGGUGAAAUGCGUAGAUAUUAGGAGGAACACCGGUGGCGAAGGCGGCCUGCUGGACUGUGACUGACGCUGAGGCGCGAAAGCGUGGGGAGCAAACAGGAUUAGAUACCCCAGUAGUC
rnacentral:rRNA from 1 species